UGUUUUCAACGGAGGGAGAGUCGAGAAGAAAAAUGGCGUCUGCAGGCGACCCAGAGCGGGACACCGGCCAUUCAGUUUAAGCUUUGCACUUCGAAAUUGACACCGGGGCUUGGUGGGGACCAAUCGGGGACCGUCGUCAGACCUAAUCGUUCUUUCUUCCCCGUUUUCUCCGGUGUGUGGCUUUUUCCAGCACCGAGAUUGAAGCGGAACAUAAGAGCCUCCCUCCUACAAUGAGGGGAAGGAGAGGAAGGCCGCCCAAACAAGCAGCCGUGAUGCGGGAAGGUUCACCCGGGCCAGUCCGGGGCUCUCGGGGUGGCAGGACUAGAGGGAUGCGUGGACGGGGAAGAGGCAGAGGACGGGGCCGGGGGCGGGGAGGAAGCGGUGGCGGUUGCAGCAUUGGCUCCGUGGAGGUUGAUACAGAAAUAUCCGGCCGAGAGAACUUUCAUUCGUCUCGGGGCCGUAGGAAAGUUGGAGCCUCCACCACGGUGGCUGCAGCGGCAUCGCGGGGUAGAGGGAGUAGAGGUAGAGGCAGGGGGUCCAGAGGCGGCCGCGGCAGUAGAGGCGGAGUGAGGCGGCCUCAAACCAAGGUGGUCUACGACGACAACAGCGACGAGGAGGAUGAUAAUUUAAGCUACCGGUCUGACGAAGAUGAGCUGAACGACAACCCAUCUUCGGAUCUUGAAGAUGAAGAGGCCUUGGGAAACGAGUCUGACUAUCUGGAGGACCUACCAGAAGAUGAUGAUGCCAGCUACUGUACUGAGAGUAGUUUUAGAAGCCACAGCACGCUCGGUAGUACCCCAGGCCGGAAACGGAGUCGUGCUUUGCGACCGCGCUCUCCCAUUCUUGAGGCAAAGGACAUUCCUCCCUUGGAGCUUCCAAAGUCCUCUGAGGACCUCCUGGUUCCUACCUCACAGCUCCUUAAUGUCUCUGCAGUGUACGAGGUCCUGUGCAACUUUGGCACCGUUUUGAGGCUCUCCCCGUUCCGCUUUGAGGAUUUCUCUGCAGCCCUGGCCAGCCAGGAGCAGUGCACACUGCUGGCAGAGACCCACAUCGCUUUGCUCAAAGCUAUUCUCAGAGAGGAGGACACUUCCAACACCACGUUUGGUCCUGCUGAUGUAAAGGAUUCUGUUAACUCCACUUUGUACUUUGUGGAUGGUAUGACCUGGCCGGAGGUGGUGCGGUCGUACUGUGAAAGUGACCCAGAAUACCGGCACAUCCUCCCUUUCCAGGAGAGUGAGGAUUAUCCGUAUGAACCAUUGGAGAGCAAAAUUAAAGUUCUUCAGUUUUUGGUGGACCAGUUCCUGGCGACUAACAUUGCCCGGGAGGAGCUUAUGUCUGAAGGGGUGGUCGCCUAUGAUGACCACUGCAGGGUGUGCCAUCGUCUUGGUGACCUGCUGUGCUGCGAAACAUGUUCAGCUGUUUACCAUCUGGAGUGUGUGAAGCCACCAUUGCAGGAAGUACCAGAGGAUGAGUGGCAGUGUGAGGUGUGUGUGGCACACAAGGUGCCCGGUGUUGCAGACUGCAUCCCUGAAGUGCAGAAGAGCAGACCGUUUAUUCGUCAAUUACCAGUUGGCUACGACCGACACCACCGUAAAUACUGGUUCCUGAACCGCCGGAUUGUUGUCGAGGAGGAUGGCGAACAGGAAGACAAAACCAUCUGGUACUACAGCACCAAGGUCCAGCUAGCUGAGCUAAUAGAUCGCUUAGAUAAAGAGUACUGGGAGGCAGACCUGUAUGCAGCGCUUGAGGAGAUAAGGGAAGAAGUGCACUCUCACAUGGACAUCACUGAGGAUCUAACCAACAAGGCUCGUGGCAGCAACAAGUGUUUCCUCACAGCUGCAAAUGAGGAGAUCCUGGAGCGACUGAAAGCCAAGAAGGAGGAGGAACUGGAAGAGGUGAAAAGACGGGCUGCUGAAGAGGCCCAGAAAGCACGGCUGGAGAAGGAGAAAAAAGAGGGAGAUGUGCAGAAGGAAGAUGAAGAUGUCAAGCAGUCAGAUGAGGGACAGCAGGAGAGCAAGACAAAAGACCUGAUGAAGGAAGACCUGGGGACUAAAGAAGAACUUACACAGGAAAAAAGGGAUGGUGUCAGAACUGGAGUUGGUGAAGUUCCACCCACUGUCCCAGAAGGCGGUAGUAUCUCAGAGGGACCCAUACAUCCAGAAACCUCUUCAUCAACACAAAGCUCCACUAUGAGCUCUAGUCUGGCCACUGCAGCUCCAAAGCACCUGGCUUCCUCUGUAGAAGCUCGAACAGAGGGAUGCUCCAGUGUGGAAGUGUCUAACAACACUGAAGAAAAACCAUCAUCAGAUUCCGUCCCUGCCUGUGGAGAUGGCGUUCCCAGCCUUAGCCAGCCCUGCGAGGAAAACAGUAACAGCAGUAUAGGUGCUGGUGUCCCACCCACGGGUCCUGAACCUCCAGACUUAGCCGACAGGUCCUCCCAGUCAUCCCUGGCAAGCCUUGAUGACACAGGGGACAGCAAAGAUUCAACUAGUGGCGACAUGACAAGUCUCAGCAGUAAGAAAUCUUCAGCAACUCGCAUGGUGACCCGACUGAGGAACCCGGACAGCAAGCUGAGCCAAAUGAAAAAUCAGCAGGUUGCAGCUGCUGUUCAUGAAGCCAACAGAGGCUUCAAGGAGGGUAAAGAGGUAUUGGUAGUAAAUGCACAAGGCGACAUCACCCGUGUCAGCACACGCAGCAGCAAGGAGGUGGUGAUGAAGGGGACCCUCAGCCAAUACUUCAAGCUUGGGCAGGAGGGCAAAUACCGUGUCUAUCAUAACCAGUACAGCACGAAUGCUUUGGCGCUCAACAAGCACCAGCACAGAGAGGACCAUGAUAAGAGGCGGCAUCUCUCCCACAAGUUCUGUAUGACACCAGCAGGGGAGUUCAAAUGGAACGGGUCUAUUCAUGGCUCAAAAGUUCUGACCAUCUCAACGUUGAGGCUCACCAUCAUCCAGCUCGAAAACAACGUUCCAACACCGUUCAUGCACCCCAACUGGCCCUCACAUAGGACCAAUUGGAUCAAAGCUGUUCAGAUGUGCAGUAAGGCCAGAGAGUUUGCACUGGCCCUGGCCAUCCUGGAGUGUGCCAUCAAACCUGUGGCUAUGCUGCCUGUCUGGAAAGACUCACUGGGACAUACCAGGUUAAACCGCAUGACGUCUAUGGAGCGUGAGGAGAAAGAGAAAGUGAAGAAGAGGGAAAAGAAGCUGGAGGAUGAGGAGACCAUGCAACAAGCAACCUGGGUCAAGUACACAUUUCCAAUUAAACACCAGGUGUGGAAACAGAAAGGAGAGGAGUACCGUGUUACAGGCUAUGGGGGCUGGAGUUGGAUCAGUAAGACUUAUGUGCCACGGUUCGUCCCCAGGCUUCCUGGCAACACCAACGCCAACUACCGCAAAGAACUGGAAGAUGCUAAACUUGGCAAAAAAUGUAACCUGCUGGACUUGAGCAGACGUCCCAGUGUGGCUGCACCAGAGGCUUCGGGUGGUGUUGCCUUAAGCAGUGAAAAAACUAAUCAAAGCUCAACGUGCUUCUCCAAGUCACUUCCUGAAGAUGCAGAGCCUGAUGAGAAGUUGAAGGAAGAAAAGAAAGAAGAGUUGAAUGAAAGAGAGAUGAAAGAGGAGGAAUUAUCAGCAAAUGAAUCUCCUGCAAAAAUGGAAGUGGAUUCAGACUUGCUGUCAGAAGAAGAUCAAAGGUCUGUCACUUGUGAGGAUAAUGAUUCCAUGAAAGUAGAGGCUACUGAGCGACCUUUCAACUACGAUGUUGUAGAUGUGAGCAAGGGCUUCCUCACCCGCAUUGCCUACAAGAAGAAGGUGAAGAUGUCCAAGCUGGACAGCCUGCUAGAGCGCAGAGUGAAGCAGUACAUGAUCGAGGAGAGGCAACAACACCAGGUGUCUGCAUCCAAACAUUUGGAACGUAUUCCAGUUUCAUCCUGUUCAGCUCCUCCUCUGAGCACUCCAGUUCGGCCACAGUCACCGCUGAAGCCUCGCACUCUGGCACAGAUGCAGCUCAAACUGAGCGACUCUGUAAAAAUGGAAGAGAAAUCCUCCACGACGCAAGCGCCAAGGCCCGGAGAAGCUGGAGGACAAGAAGGAGAAAGACGUGCUGAACUCUCUAAUGCUCCCAAUCUUGUUUCAGACUCCACACUCAAAGACAAUACAGGUACAGGUGAACAUUCUGAUUCACCACAACAUCAAACCACCUCCACGCCCCAAGAACUAGAGAAAAACUUGGUGGAAAGGACUACGGGGCCAAAAGAAAGUAGCUCGGACAGUUUAGGGCAAGAGGGUGUUAAACUCUCUGAUAUGCAAGAGAUGGCAGCUGGAGGGAUUCAAAGCUCAGUAGAGCGACAAAUAGCCUGUGUUGCAUCAGAUGUAGCUAAGGCUCAGCAUGAAAACGCAGGGUCUGACUCUGUAAGGACACUUACAAGUGUUGACCAAAAAAACAGUCAAAACACAUCUCUUUUUAAAGCCGUUGGGCAAAACCCAGAAACUCUCAGCUCUGUGCAUUCAGGCAUGGAGGAAAAUGGCUUGGAGCCAGAGGAUAACCGUGAAAAUCUGCAAGACAUUGGACAUCAUGGGACACUAGGUGACGAAACUUCCAAGCCAGUUCCUUCUCUGCCUCAGGUAAAUGGUAACAAUGGUUUAGGAAGUGAGAGUAUACUGAGUAGCUCUUCAAUGAGCUCUAAUAAUGGUGUGCUCACCAGCAGACCCCAGCCAAAGUUGAACAGCAUUGGUAAAGCUGAGGAACAAAGGCUGGUUGUCUCACUGAAAGAUGGAAUACAGCAAAAGCCUUUAGUAAAUGGAGAUUUGGCAUCUGUAAACAAUCCUGUAGAGAAUAAAGGAAAAGAGCCAAGUCUAGGCUCUAAGUUCGAGGAUGAGGGUGAGAUAACGACGUUGGACCAGGAUUACAAACCUCCGUUGAAAAUUACCAAGCUUGAAAACAACAUAAACACAUUUGGAGCUGAUACUGGGAUCAUUCUGCAGAACAACAGCACCUCAGCUUUUAAUUCUGUGGAGAACAAACUCAGCCCUGGGGUCAAGAUCAUAAGAAUGCCCCCCUCUCCUAUUCCCUCUGUAGAGGAGUCCAGUCUGAGUGACGACUUUGCAGAGGAGAAUAGCAACAGUGGGUCAACAGAACCAUUCAAGACCAUCAUCACCCAGGUAACCACAACUUCCACCUCCACCACAACAGUAGUUUCCACCGAAACAAGAAUAGCCAAAGUGCCGUUAAAGUCAUACGGAGAAGCGACGAUGCCUAUGGUGAUGGCGAGCAGCGCAGUGUCUACCCUUUCUACCAUGACCAAAACAACAGUGACCAAAAUCAGUUCCUCUGGGCUCGAUAGUCAGUCAGAAGACAGUCAGAGUGAGAUUGUGAUGCAAGAACACAACAUGCUCUCUGCCAGUAAGUCUGCAACUGACACCAGUGGUAAAACAUCAGUGUCAUCUAGCGCCACGAUACAGGAAGACUCGUCAUUGACAAAAGGCCGCAUUCGCCUUCUCAAAUUCUCCCGCACCAAGAAGACACGCUCUGACACAGCUCUUCCUUCCUACUGCAAGUUUGUCACCAAGAGCAGCCGGAGGAGUAUUUUUGUACUGCCACAUGAUGACUUGAAGGUGUUGGCGAGGCGAGGCGGAUUCCGUGAGGUGUUGGUGUUUAGUUAUAACGCCAAGCCGGCACUGGAUAUCUGGCCAUAUCCUUCUCCCAGGCCCACAUUUGGCAUCACUUGGAGGUACCGGCUGCAGACUGUGAAGUCUCUGGCUGGAGUGAGCCUAAUGCUGAGGCUCUUGUGGGCCUGUCUGAGAUGGGACGACAUGGCUGUCAAACCCUCUGCAGCUGUUGGCACCACCCGUACCGCCCUAUCCCCACUCAUUGCCACAGAGACGUCAGAUACUGAAAUCACCACCACUGAGAUCAUAAAGCGGCGUGACGUGGGACCCUAUGGCAUUCGCUCAGAGUAUUGCAUCCGCAAAAUCAUCUGCCCCCUGGGAGCGCCUGAGACUCCAAAAGAAACACACACCCCUCAGAGGAAGGGUCUGCGCUCCAGUGCCUUGCGCCCCAAGAAGCCCGAGCCUGCCAAACAGACGGGUCCUGUGGUGAUCGAGACCUGGGUGGCUGAAGAGGAGCUUGACCUCUGGGAGAUCAGAGCCUUCUCAGAAAGGGUAGAGAAAGAGAAAGCUCAGGCUGCAGAGCAGGCCAAAAAACGUCUCGAACAGAAACCGGGAUCAGUCACAGCAACUCCAUGCGGGACUCCUGCAACACCUGCUGCUACACCCAAAGUCAUUGUCGGUUCGAUUUCAGGCCAAGGCACCCCCAGCGCCAAGGUGGUGCUCUCCACCAAGAUGGGUUCUCCUGUCACAUUCCAACAGAACAAGAACUUCCAGCAGUCAUUUGCGACCUGGGUCAAGCAGGGUCAAAGCACGCAAGGAGCGGGUGCUGAGACCACUGUGUCCACAUCUAGUGGGCACACUUUACACAUUACAGGAACCUCAGCCAGUGGAAAGGUUGUGACCACCAAGCUGCCUCUACCUGCAAACAGCAAGAUCGUCACAGUCAACGUGCCAACUACACAAGGAGGUGUAGUUCAGCAGAAAGUGUUGGGUAUCAUCCCAACCAGUACAGCAGGCGGUGCCCAAACUUACACCACAUUCCAGCCCCGCACCACCACGCUCAACAUCAAACCCAAUACCCCAGGCUCCCAACAGCAGGUACAUGUUCUGGCAGGUGGUGGUCAGAUACGUCCAGGUAUGACUAUGAUUCGAACCCCAAUCCAGCAGACAGGACCAAUGGGAAAGACGAUACUGCGCACGCCUCUCGUAGUCCAGCAAGGUCAGGGUGGACCACAAGUAGUGACACAGAUCAUCCGUGGUCAGGCAGUUUCUACUGCAAUAUCGACUGCCAACCCUGUCACCACGGCAACUGGUCAGGGAGUGGCCAGCCCAAACGCAGCAGGACAGACAGCAUGCCAAACACCACCCGGCACCCCACGGACACAAGGCCAAGGCCAGGUUAAACUCACCAUGGCCCAGCUCACACAACUCACGCAGAAGCAGCAAGCUGGGUCUGGUGUGGACCGACAGACUGGCGCUGGUGGUGCCCAGCAGGCCCUGACAGUAAUGGUUCAGGGCCAGGGUCAGACCACAGGCCAGCUGCAGGUCAUACCCCACGGCGUCACCGUCAUUCCAGGACCAGGCCAGCAACUCAUGCAGGCGACACUGCCCAAUGGCCAGGUGCAGCGCUUCCUCUUCACCCCUUUGGCUUCAGCUGCCACACCCACAUCAAGCACUGCCACAACAGUUCCCAGCCAGCCCAACUCCACCUCAAACAAAACCCCAGCACAGCCUGCACAGCAGGCUGCCGCCCCAAUCCAGGCAGGGGCAACCCCACAGGCCACUACCAGCACCCCAUCAUCAGCCACGCCUCAGGGCCUGUUACCCCCACAGACCCAGGCCCAUAUGCCCAUCCAGUCUCCUACUUCACUGCAGGUUAAAACUCAGGGGGGAACCACCCAGCUGCAGUUGCAGCAGACACCCCAGCUCAUCAAUAUGUCUGGACUGCAGCAGCAGGUACAGGUGCUGGCCCAGCUGCAGGCCCAGCAGGGUGGAGGCUCUCUGCCACAGCACAUCAAACUGCAGCUUCCCAUCCAGAUACAACAGAGUGGGACCACCUCAGCUCCGGGCGGACAGAUUGGAAACGUAGUGACCAUCCAGGCAGCAUCUGUGCAAGAGCAACUGCAGAGGAUCCAGCAGCUCAGAGAGCAGCAGCAGAAGAAGAAGAAACAGGCUGCCGAAGCAAAGAGAGAGCUCGCUCUCAGUGCAGCCAACCAGAGCAACAUCAUUCAGAAACAGGUGGUCAUGAAACAAAAUGCUGUGAUCGAGCACCUUAAACAGAAGAAGACCAUGACACCUGCAGAGAGAGAGGAAAAUCAAAGGAUGAUUGUAUGCAACCAGGUGAUGAAGUAUAUCCUGGACCGGAUAGAUAAAGAUGAGAGGCAGGCAGCCAAGAGGAAAAAGAAGGAAGAGGUGGUGGAGGCUAAGAGGAGGCUGGCCAAUGCUAGCAAGCUAUCUUCGCUCCUCUACCGACACAAAGAGAGUCUCAAGAUGGAGAUUUUGAAGAAGCGGGCGCUUCUCGAUAAAGAGCUGCAGCUAGAGGCUCAGGAGGAGCUAAAAAAGGACCUGUUACGCAUGCGGAGGGAAAAGGAAAGGGCUCAGGCCGCGGCCCACCUAGCAGCCCAGGCUGCGGCAGCUGCUGCUGCAGCCCAAAAGCAGCAACAGCAAAAUAGGGCACACACGCACGCCAUCUCCUCUCACCAUCAUGUAACCACUGCUAUCUCCACACACAAGAGGAAACGGGAAGAGGAGAGGGAGAUGACAACAACAGCAAAGUCCAAGAAGAAGAAAAUGAUCUCUACCACAAGCACAAAGGAGAGCAAGAAGGAUACAAAGCUGUACUGCAUCUGCAAGACACCUUAUGAUGAGACCAAGUUCUACAUUGGUUGCGACCUUUGUACCAACUGGUAUCAUGGGGACUGUGUGGGCAUCACAGAGAAGGAGGCCAAGAAAAUGGACGACUACAUCUGUGUGGAGUGUAAACGGGGUCAGCAGAGCAGCACAGAGGAGCUGUACUGCAUCUGUCAAACUCCAUAUGAUGAGUCCCAGUUUUACAUCGGCUGUGAUCGAUGUCAAAACUGGUACCAUGGUCGAUGUGUGGGAAUUCUGCAGAGUGAGGCCAACCACAUCGACGAGUAUGUGUGUCCGCAGUGUCAGUCCACAGAGGACGCCAUGACAGUUUUCACGCCGCUCACUGAGAAGGACUACGAAGGCCUGCGAAGGAUCCUUCGUUCCCUACAGGCACAUAAAAUGGCGUGGCCGUUUCUGGAGCCAGUGGAUACAAAUGACGCCCCGGAUUAUUACAAGGUUAUCAAGGAACCAAUGGACCUGUCCACCAUGGAGGAGAGGUUACAGAAACGCGAGUAUGUCAAGCUGACAGAGUUUGUAGCCGACAUGACCAAAAUCUUCGACAACUGCCGAUACUACAACCCCAGCGACUCACCCUUCUACCAGUGUGCUGAGGUUCUGGAGAACUUCUUUGUUCAGAAGCUAAAAGGCUUUAAAGCCAGCAGAUUGUGAUGUCAAACUUCCUGGGUGCCGGGGUCACUUUUAAACAAAAAUUAAUAAUUUGCUAUCCUGGAUGUUGCUGUUCUUUACUAAAUUAAAACAGCGUUAAAACUUUGUCACAUAACAACAAGCUACAAUCAGCAGCUUCUUAGCUUCCUUCUUAAAACCGAGUGUCAGAAAGGCACACCACUGAAUGAUUAGGACCCGUGGUUCGAGUCAGGCUGCACCUGAACCCAAGUUCUCUCUGGAGGAGAGCGGGCCCUUCCUCCCCAACACUGAUGAAGUGCCCCACCCUCCACCACGUCCACUGCAGUGCUAAAGGGGAAAGAAAGGAAUUGAAAAGCCUGCCCCCAUUUCCUCCUUUAGGCCAGGGGAAGGAAAGCUUUACGGUCCCAACCAGUGUAGCCCUGCCAUGAGAAGAAAAAUGAGGGAGACAAGAUGACAGAAGAAGUAGUCUGGUUGGAUGAUCAGUGGUAGUCUAACCUGAUGGCAACAGCAGACGUUUUAAGUUAAUUUUGUGGGGUUCAGUUUUAUGCAUCUUCUAUAGCAAAAUGUCGUCUUCUUGUUGUUCUAACUCAGAGGUUUGUUCAAUUUUAUCCUAUUGGAUUGCCAUCGUGUCUAAUGUUAAGUCCUGCUUCAGACGGAAAUGUGCACCUUUAAAACAUUGACCAGUGCAGAACAUGGAGCUUUAACUGAGUUGGAGUUGCCUGAAAGCAGCAUUUUCACACUUCAUAAGAAGCAAAAGUCACUCCAUGUCUGGCAUUAAAAUCUCAAUUCUACCUUAUUCAGCCAGUGUUGGAUGAGUAUUUUUGCAUCAUCUUCAAAUGGACCCAUUUACUUCAUCAUCAUUCUGAUAAAACCCUCAGGUGUGUAGCCCUGCAUGAAGCAUGAUCCAGCCUCAUUAAAUCACUUAAUUGCAAAUAUAGCCACCUCUAUUAGUGGACCAUUCCCUGUCUAAGCAGCCUGAUGUUGAGAUGAGUGAUUCAGCUGGUGUUUAAAGGCAAGAAUGCUUUCAUGUUCAUUUCCAGAGGGAAACACCCCGGACAGGCCAUCCCACCCACUGCAUCCGGCCCCUCUUUUGACCUUUUUUCCCAUCUAGUGUUCUGAAAUGCAGCUAAAAACUGUCUCUAUUUGAAGGAGGAAAAGAGACUGAAGCCUUUAGAGAAGGUAAAACUUGUACAAGUUGACUUGCAGUACUGUAGCUCCCUCCAUAAACAGUCUCAUCAAAGUUCUGUCUCAGUCAGUCUUCUUAUCUUUCAGCCUCUUCUUCCAGCAUUGAAGCUGACAGGUUGGCUCACUUAUGUCUCUCAACUCCCCUCUCAAAGCAUGGUUAAGUAAUUGGAUAAUGGACUUUACCACUCAGCAUCAGCUCAGUUAUGUUGCGGUCUGUGGCGGAGUUGGUGGAGAACACUGAAUGGGGGAUUGGGAAUCUUUGUAUUGUGGGGUUUGUAUGAAAAUUUUAUAGCUGCAUUUUUUUUUAAGCAUAUCUGGGAACAUUUUUGUAAUUUUUCAGUUUUGUAGGAGUGGGAGCAGCCCGUCGUUAAGUUGACCUGUUACAAACUUAAAAAUUAGACAAACAUUUCUGUUUCAAUCCCAAUGUUUUUACAUUUUUGUGCAUUAAAGCAGAGUUGAGAGAUAACGUGGCUUCUGUCUUCUUCUCUGUUAAACACAAAUGUCCGUCACUUUGUAAUCUGAAGAUGAUGAUGUGCUUUACCACUGUUUGUAAUCUGCAUUGUGUAUUAUAACUGUCCAAAUAUGUAGAAAAAAGAUUUUUAGAGAAGUAGAAACUUUUAUUUUUCACUAUUUGAACCAGCAACAAAGCCCUCCUGUAUAUUUCAACUGUAUUUUUUCUCUUUCAUUGAAGUGGACUCUACAUUUAGGUGAAAUUGCCCUUUAUAAUAAAGUGCUGCAGAUUGUGAGCAUAAAAGUUUUGAAAGUAGAGUGACACAGUAACUUGUACAGAUUUUUCUUCUUUUUUUUGUAAGAAAUCCACCAAGUCAGCAUAACUUCUGUAAUGGCAUUGCAUUUCUUGUAUUAUUUAUUCGCCUACAUGAAAAGGGUUUGUUUUUUCUUUUUUCUUUUUUUGAGCAAUGAUGAGGAAUUGUAACUGCAGAUAAAAUUUAAAAAAGUGCUCUAUGUUUUUAACAGAUUGUGGCCACUCUGAAGAGAUUCUCUUUUGUACUUGAUAGGACAUUUCAUCCUAGAUAUUAAAAAGUAAUGUUUUGGA